AUGUUGGGGCCACAGCAGGGAGGGAGGAGCCAGGACUUUCCUUUGUUCCCUCGAUGCUGUCACCUUCUUUUCUCCCUGGAUGUCGGAGCCCGCUGUGUGAUGUCGGAGCCUACGCGUGCCAGGCCUGUGAAGGCUGGGGAUCUCGUGGGGGCACAUGGGGCUAAAGGGCCCCCUCUUCUGCCCCCAACAUCACUUACCAUGACAAAUGCUGCACCUGGAUCCUUGUGGAAGUCAUCGCCCUGGAGAAAGGAAAGACCAUCUGGCUCAGCCCCAGAGGGGAGAGAGACCUCAGCUGGAAAGAUGCGACCACGUCUGUCCCCGGGGAAGAGGUUAAAGGCCAGAGGGGAUAGAUGAAGAACUCUUCUUUUUCUGGUUAUGAAUAUGUUCUGCCCAAACUGUUCAUGAUGUUAGACAUGUCCACUUCCAUCCAACAUAAGUGUGGGGGCCCUAUUGGCACCUCCCUCCCGGAUGUGAUGGAAUGCUUCGGAAACCAUUAAUCCUGGUGUCAGCAGGAGCCUAUGGAGGAACUUGUAGUUAAUAUUCCCCCACGAGCGAGGGGACGAACUGAGGAGAGGCAGAUCUGCAUGGCUGAUGGCUCACUUCCCCCUCCCUUUCAGCAGCAGAGCCACGGGCUGGCUCAGCAGGUCUGAGUUAGAUCAUUGGCAGAACCGGCUGGUGCCACCAGCCUUUAAUUUUUAGGGCUGCCUCUUCUAUCCUGGUCAAGAACUUCACUUGUUACAUAAUCAUGUGUCUGUAGCUGCUCCGUGGCCUCAUAAAAUGUGGAGCUUAACGGGGACAUUUUCUUUUUGCCUGGAGCUUUGGCUGUGGGGCCUGCAGUCCAGCCACAGCUGGCCUGAGCUGGGGACAAUGACAGUUCACAGGACUGCAUGUGCUCUCCCACGUCUCUGCUCAUAAGUUUUCUCCAUAAACUCAACUUUAAAAAAGAAAAAAUGAGGAUGACUCAUAUAACGAUAUGAUUUGUACAAAACUGGUUUGUAAAUACAACAUAAUCCCAAAUAAUUUUUUUAUUAAUUUUUUAAAUUUACCAUCCUUACCAUUUUUAAGUGUACAGUUGAGUGGUGAUGAAUACGUUCAUAUUCUUUCUCUCCCUUCAUCCUUUCUUCCUCCUCCCUUUCCCAACCUCUAGUAACCACCAAUCUACUCUGUCUUACGGCACAGAAUGUGCAUCCCUUGCAUGGCAAUGCUAAUAUUGUUGCUACCACCCUCUCAUACCAGUGCGACAUUAAUACCCACCCUUUAGUGACUGUGAGUUCCAGUCUUGAAUGGACAUAGAAUUUGCCACAGCAACAGCUAACAAGUAGCGUUACUACAUACUGCGCACCAUGCUAAGAGUUUUAUACGUAUUAACUCACUUAUGCAGAUCGGUGCAAUUAUCUUUUUUUUCUAUGCAGUUCACUUUCCCUCCCCCCCCAGAAAAGGAACCAAGGCACAGAGAGGUUAGUACUUUUUUCAAGGUCACACAGCUAUAAAUGGCGAGACCAGGAUUCAAACCUAGGCAGUCUUCCUUUAGAGCCAUUAAACUCUGUGCUGAUGAUGAGCAGGUGGGUAGAGAAAAGGUUCAGGAGUAAAAAUAAAGUGGUUUCUUGCAUUUCUUCCAAGAUGUUAGCAGGUCAGCUGUUGAGUACCAAACUUUCAGUGGUGCUAUGAGUGUCUGGGUGUUUUGGUUUGUUUGUUUGCUUUCUCUGUGUUCCUAGGUGUGCAAGUGGGAAGAGAGGGUGGGACAGAUCCUGCAGAGAGACCUGCCGUGCUCCCCAGUGGAAACCGCAGCUUCCACUUCCUACACUCCCUUGCAUCUUUGUCUCUAGUCCGUGGCCUGGCUUUCCCCAAGAAGACCUGUCUCAUGAGAUGUGGAAGGAGAGGGUGAACAACAUUAAGUGCAACUGUUUCCACUGCUUCUGUGUGAUUGAGGAAGUGUUGGGUUUUCCUGUGACAACCGCAGCAGAGGUCCCAGCACUGGGGAGGUGAGGGAGUUAGAACAGGCUGUCUGGUGGCCCUGGUCCCAGCAGGCGAGACAGCAGCCUCCUCGUUACCUGGCUUUUCAAUCAGGACCAAGGCAGCAGCUUGUCAUUUGGGAGUCGUUCCUGGCAGCUUAGCUCUGAGCUUGCUCUACAGCCAUUCCAUCAGCUUUGCAAGGACGUAAGUCACUGUAUGAAGUCCCUUUCUGUGUAAACUAGAUAGAGUGUUUCAUGCUAUUUGCAAUUGAACCUGGUGAUACAGUAUGUUUUUGUUAUUCAGGGUGUUUAAUGAAAGGUUUUUUUUUUUUUUUCUUUCUUCUUUUUUUUUUUUUAGACAUGAUUGGUUCAGAUUGAGCUCAUGGUAAACUAAAACCGUCAGCUUUCUUUUCCCAUAAAUGUUCUUAGGAUAGUCACCCCCAUUCUGGGUGCAUGCGAUCAACCGAUGUUGCUUGCACUGAGUCCAUCAACCCAGCAGGUGAGGUCCUUUUGAGUUACUGUCUCAAAACGAUGAAAACCACAUUGUUCUCACUGCCAAAACAUUGUCCCAUGGCUCCAUGAUGCUGUCUCCAACUGGAUUUCUGCCAAGAGUUUUCUUGGCUUGUUCUCUGCUCCUGGAAAGGAACAGCCUGUCCUCCAGUGCUCUGGCCUCCUGGGGAGCCCAUCAAUGCCUCCACCUUCCUCUCUGUGUCUCUUAGAGGACCCCAGGGUUACUGCUCUGACACCCUUCCUCUCCCCCUCUUCUGAGGGCAGGCGUCCAAAUUCCUCCAGGAUCUGGCCUAGAGACACUUGCUCAGCAGUACUUGGGCAGGGCCAUUAGGUGCAGUCUGGGUGCUCUGUCCCUCAAGGAUUCCUCUUAGAAGGGUGUCCAUGCAGACUUGUUUCAUGCUCAGACCUUCCAGUGGAGCAUGUGUGAGAAGUUUCACUAGCACUGUAUGGUUUUUAAACGGCAGCUGAUAACCCUUUACUAGGGAAAAAAAACUGAUUUAAAGGGCUGUCCUGCAUUGACUGUAUAGAAGUUUGUUGUACAUAGGAAAGGUUAAUAACUGUCUUGAGUAUCUUUUGCUAGUUGUAUGUGUAUCAGUUAGAGUUCCACCAGGGAAACAGAACCAGUAGGAAAUAUAAAUGAAUAAAUAAUCAAAUAAUCAUAUAUAAAACUUUUUUUUUUUUUUUUUUUUUUUUUUUUUUUUUUUUUUUUUUUUGAGGUGGAGUGUCUCUCUGUUGC
rnacentral:lncRNA from 1 species